rnacentral:rRNA from 1 species
AACGAACGCUGGCGGCAUGCUUAACACAUGCAAGUUGAACGCAGAAUAGAGCUUCGGCUCUAUUGCUGAGUAGCAAACGGGUGAGUAACGCGUGGGAAUCUGCCUUUUUGUGGGGGAUAACUGAGGGAAACUUCAGCUAAUACCGCAUAAGCUCUACGGAGGAAAGACUUCGGUCGCAAGAAGAGGAGCCCGCGUCAGAUUAGGUAGUUGGUAGGGUAAAGGCCUACCAAGCCAAUGAUCUGUAGCUGGUCUGAGAGGAUGAUCAGCCACACUGGGACUGAGACACGGCCCAGACUCCUACGGGAGGCAGCAGUGGGGAAUAUUGGACAAUGGGGGAAACCCUGAUCCAGCAAUGUCGCGUGAAUGAAGAAGGCCUUAGGGUUGUAAAGUUCUUUCACC